rnacentral:rRNA from 1 species
UCCAGGAGCCAUAUUGCCCUGCAACUCACAACUGACACCCACUGAAGGUAAGCAGGUGUGAGCAUGGUCAGCACCUGGAUGGGAGACCUCCUGGGAAAAACUAAGGUUUCUGCUGGAA